rnacentral:tRNA from 1 species
UCCCUGGUGGCUCAGAUGGUAAAGCGUCUGCCUACAGUGCAGGAGACCUGGGUUCAAUCCCUGGGUGGGGAA